UUAGAGCAAUCGAAGCAGUGAACUUAAGCCCCAGUAAACGGCGGCCGUAACUAUAACGGUCCUAAGGUAGCGAAAUUCCUUGUCGGGUAAGUUCCGACCCGCACGAAAGGCGUAACGAUUUGGGCACUGUCCCAACAACAGACUCGGUGAAAUUGUAAUUCCGGUGAAGAUGCCGGAUACCUGCGACAGGACGGAAAGACCCCAUGGAGCUUUACUGUAGCUUGACAUUGGGGCUUGGUACUACAUGUACAGGAUAGGUGGGAGGCUUUGAAACCAGGACGCCAGUUUUGGCGGAGCCAUCCUUGGGAUACCACCCUUGUAGUACUGGGACUCUAACCAUAGGCCAUGAAUCUGGUCUUG
rnacentral:rRNA from 1 species